rnacentral:rRNA from 1 species
AUUGAACGCUGGCGGCAGGCCUAACACAUGCAAGUCGAACGGUAACAGGAAACAGCUUGCUGUUUCGCUGACGAGUGGCGGACGGGUGAGUAAUGUCUGGGAAACUGCCUGAUGGAGGGGGAUAACUACUGGAAACGGUAGCUAAUACCGCAUAACGUCGCAAGACCAAAGAGGGGGACCUUCGGGCCUCUUGCCAUCGGAUGUGCCCAGAUGGGAUUAGCUAGUAGGUGGGGUAACGGCUCACCUAGGCGACGAUCCCUAGCUGGUCUGAGAGGAUGACCAGCCACACGGAAAUAGGAAAAGGGCCCAGACCCCUAGGGGGGGCGGCGGUGGGAAAUAUGCCAAAAGGGGGGAAAGCGGAAGGCAGCCAUGCCGGGUGAAUAAAGAGGGCCUUCGGGUUGAAAAGUACUUUCGGGGGGGAUAAAGGGGGUAAAAUUAAUACUUUUGCUCUUUGAGGUUACCCGAAGAAAAAGCACCGGCAAACCCCGG